rnacentral:rRNA from 1 species
AGCGAAUGGCGGCGUGCUUACCAUGCAAGUCGAACGAUGAACCACCUUCGGGUGGGGAUUAGUGGCGAACGGGUGAGUAACACGUGGGCAAUCUGCCCUUCACUCUGGGACAAGCCCUGGAAACGGGGUCUAAUACCGGAUACUGACCUGCCAAGGCAUCUUGGCGGGUCGAAAGCUCCGGCGGUGAAGGAUGAGCCCGCGGCCUAUCAGCUUGUUGGUGAGGUAAUGGCUCACCAAGGCGACGACGGGUAGCCGGCCUGAGAGGGCGACCGGCCACACUGGGACUGAGACACGGCCCAGACUCCUACGGGAGGCAGCAGUGGGGAAUAUUGCACAAUGGGCGAAAGCCUGAUGCAGCGACGCCGCGUGAGGGAUGACGGCCUUCGGGUUGUAAACCUCUUUCAGCAGGGAAGAAGCGAAAGUGACGGUACCUGCAGAAGAAGCGCCGGCUAACUACGUGCCAGCAGCCGCGGUAAUACGUAGGGCGCAAGCGUUGUCCGGAAUUAUUGGGCGUAAAGAGCUCGUAGGCGGCUUGUCACGUCGGUUGUGAAAGCCCGGGGCUUAACCCCGGGUCUGCAGUCGAUACGGGCAGGCUAGAGUUCGGUAGGGGAGAUCGGAAUUCCUGGUGUAGCGGUGAAAUGCGCAGAUAUCAGGAGGAACACCGGUGGCGAAGGCGGAUCUCUGGGCCGAUACUGACGCUGAGGAGCGAAAGCGUGGGGAGCGAACAGGAUUAGAUACCCUGGUAGUCCACGCCGUAAACGGUGGGCACUAGGUGUGGGCAACAUUCCACGUUGUCCGUGCCGCAGCUAACGCAUUAUGUGCCCCGUCUGGCGAGUACGGCCGCAAGGCUAAUACUCACAUGAUCUGACGUGGA